UACGUAGGCAGCAAGCGUUGUUCGGAAUUACUGGGCGUAAAGCGUGCGUAGGUGGUUGGCUAAGUUUGGUGUGAAAUCUCCCGGCUCAACUGGGAGGGUGCGCCGAAAACUGGCUGGCUAGAGUGUGGGAGAGGGAAGUGGAAUUCCUGGUGUAGCGGUGAAAUGCGUAGAUAUCAGGAGGAACACCUGCGGUGUAGACGGCUUCCUGGACCAUGACUGACACUGAUGCACGAAAGCGUGGGGAGCAAACAGG
rnacentral:rRNA from 1 species